GAUGAGGAAGUGGAACGCAGCGGCGCGAAAACAAAAGUGCGGAUUUAAACAUGUCAAUUUUGUCGACAUUAUAACUUUCGAUAAACGUAAAGCCAUUUUUUUUAUAUGUUUCACGAAGCCAUGGAUCUGGACGUCGACACAACCGGGUGUCCAGACUACGACCAACGAGACGUCACAAGUUCAACAUCAAAUUCAUCUUCUAUACCAGGCGGCGUCUGAACGCCACACACUUGCUGCCAUCUGGUGGACAUUGAAGAAAGCGGAAGUAAGGAAGCAAGGUUGGUUGCAUGAAGAAAGUCCCCUACUGUCUCUAUGGUGACCCAGGAAUGCAGGAUGUCAUCACUAAUCAGUGGGAGUGACACGCUAGCAGCCAAUCAGUCGAGUCGCGGGGGCCGCAGCCUAAGCAGCAGUAUCUGACGGGGAACGUUACGUUGCUUACUACAUUCAUGUCCAUUCAACCUGGCGCCAACAACUGGGAGACGUGCGCCGCCUUCAAAGGAGGAAAGCAGCCGUCGUACCUGAAUGAAGACUUCCACAGACGCCGACAGGGGCCAGACCCCUCGGUCUGUGGCGUAGACCCUCAGCCAAUAGGAGUCCUUGCUCUCGCAGUCCAGGACGCCUGACGUGUAAAUCACUCCUGUGGACGCACACGCCCGUGUUAGUGACGGCGGGGAGCUCCUGCAAUCAUCAGCGGCCUCCACUGCACCCCCGCAACAAUCUCACCUCCAGCUGCCUGGCCGAGCUGCUGAUGUUCAGGUUUUGGUGAGAAAAUUGUGGUAAAAAGUUGCCUCUUACCGGAGAUCAGCGGAGCUUCUGUUGUGCUGCCGUGACUAAUUCCUUCAGAGACUGGCCUCAAGACACCCUUCCGACUAUCAGCCAACAAAACCAGCCUGACGAGAAGGAGGGAUUAGCUGUGGACUUAGACUUGGAGACGAGAGCAAACCUGCACACACUGUCCCUCCUCCUCCUCCUCCUCCUCUCUCUGACAGCAUGUCGUCCGCCGUUUGCCAGCAUCAAGGCAGCGGGCCAGCCAUCACAGUGAUAGCAUGCACCAGGAGGUCAAAGUACGCCGACCUCUGGGUGUGGUCACUGAAGGCAAGUACAUCUUUAUCUCCCUCAGGGUGUGGUCACUGAAGGCAAGUACAUCUUUAUCUCCCUCAGGGUGUGGUCACUGAAGGCAAGUACAUCUUUAUCUCCAUCCCCAAUCAGGUUGAUGUGUGGCCACCUGCCCCAAGACAGCUGUGUCAGGUUGGCAAUCAGUGUCUGCUUAAAUAUCAGCUGAGUGUAGGAUUCAUGUGUGGUUGGCUCCCUGCUGUUGAAGGUCUGCUGCCAUCGGGCAGUAGGUGUGUUGCUCCACUGAAUGAUAGUUUAGAGAUGAGUCUGCUGAAGGUGUAGUAAGUUUUCAUUCAUGGAAUGCUGUGAUUCAUUUGAACUUGGUGCUGAUAAGAGAUUUCUCUACUCUGUUGUUCAGGCAAUUUAGGGGAACUGAUGAAGUCUUGAAAAAUGCAAUAAUUUGUUUUGUUUCGAUGGAAGCUCCAAUCAGGAGAACUUUAAUUUAACCUUCAGUCAGAAAAGUGACUGAAUAAACCAACGCUGCUGCAUUUGAACAUGAACUGAACUGUCUCUGGGUGCUUAGUUUG